UACGGGGGGGGGCAAGCGUUGUUCGGAAUUACUGGGCGUAAAGGGCUCGUAGGUGGCCAAUUAAGUCAGACGUGAAAUCCCCAGCUUAACCUGGGAACUGCGUCUGAUACUGGUUGGCUUGAAUUCGGGAGAGGGAUGCAGAAUUCCAGGUGUAGCGGUGAAAUGCGUAGAUAUCUGGAGGAAUACCGGUGGCGAAGGCGGCAUCCUGGACCGAGAUUGACACUGAGGAGCGAAAGCCAGGGGAGCAAACGGG
rnacentral:rRNA from 1 species